rnacentral:rRNA from 1 species
UACGUAGGGGGCUAGCGUUGUCCGGAAUCAUUGGGCGUAAAGAGCGCGUAGGCGGCCAGAUAAGUCCGGUGUGAAAGUCAAAGGCUCAACCUUUGAAUGCCGCUGGAAACUGUCUGGCUAGAGUCCGGGAGGGGCGAGUGGAAUUCCUGGUGUAGCGGUGAAAUGCGCAGAUAUCAGGAGGAACACCAGUGGCGAAGGCGGCUCACUGGUCCAUUACUGACGCUGAGGUGCGAAAGCGUGGGGAGCAAACAGG